UGGGAACACAGAGUUUUGCAAGGGUUAAUGUUGAAAAAUUAUCCAUGCAUAUCUUUUGAAAAUUAAAAAGUUUUAAUUAAAAAAGGAAAUAAAUUAAUAUUCUAUCCAUAAGAAUAUAAUUUUUUUAGUCACAUAUUUUGUAAGACAUUUUGGAGUUUAAUGGCUGGAUUAAUUUUUUUUAUUUUUUUGAAAAGUUGGGGCAAGUUACUUUUUUGUCCUGUGCAAUUUUCAUUCAUGAUUUCUUAAAAUAUAGCUCUGAAAAAACAGGUUUUUCCCAUCAUUAUUCAAAUGGACAUACUUUGUUGUGUCUUUAAACCCAAAUCAUCCUGGCUUUUUUAAAAAUGGCCAAUAACAGCCUCCAUCCCAAACCUCUGUUGCUCAAUCUUUAGAUUUUGAUGGCUUAGGAGUAUAAAUGGCAAUUGUUUUCUGUUCUGACCAGAAAUUCUAAAGGUCUUUCCUUUUCAAAUUGAUACUUUUGUGAUGAUAAACUAGGUUGUCUUUUGUCACUUUUCUUAUUUAGCCCUUGGUUGUUGUCCUACCAAAAUAAUAUGAUUAUAUUAGACUCAAGUUACUAUCUGACUGUGGCUGAUAACAACAGUACAAAUUCAAAAUGCUCUACCACAGAUUGGGCACAAAUAAGUCAUGUGAACAUUUGUGUUGGAUUCUAAAUCUGUACAUCUCAUUUCUUUUUGAACUACUUUAGUUCUGCUUUGCUCAUAGAGCUGCAGCUACUGUAGCUCAGAACUCCCUGGCUCAAAACAUUGUGAGCAUUAAUCUUCCAAAAGCUGGUAUCAUAGGAAUGUCUGAUUAUGCCAGUUAUUCUCUAGUAUCUGACCAAAUUAUCCACCUACACAGCAAUGGCAAUCUUUUGGACUUCUGACAAAUAAAUCAUAUGGCUUUGAAAAUGUGGAAAGAGCCAAACUAUAAUAUUGAUUCUUUACUUGCAUACUUCAUCGAGUAUAGCACCAAUGUCUUCUAUAUCAUGAAAUCAACUCCAAAGUUCUUCAGAGAGACUUUAUUGCAAUAAUCAGACAAAAACUAAUCCAGUCAAUUGCACCAAUAAAAUUAGCUGAGAGGUGGUCAUGCAGCAGAAAGCAGGAAUGUUUAUACAAACUGUCUUGUGGCUGUAAAACAAUAAUACAUGUUACACAAACACUUGAUCAUGAUCAUUCCUGGGCUUUCUUCUUCUACAUAUAGCUUGACUAGAUUCCAAUUAAUUAUGCUCCAUCACAAAGUCAACUACAGAGUAGGGAUUAGAAAAAAAAAGUCACUGGAACAAAUAAAGAUUUGGACAGCAAAGUUCAGGAAAGUCAAAUAUGAAAAUGUUCAAUCUAGAGAAGAGAAGAUUGAGAAAAGACUUAGAAAUGAUCUUUAAUAUCCAAAAUAUUUUGUGAAGUUUAACUAACUUUAUUCUCUUUUCCCUGAGACAGAACAAGAUAAAAUAACCUUAAGGUGUGAUUCAGUUUAGGCAAGAUACAAAGAAGAGUCAAAUGUAACUUAGUGGAUAGAGAACUGGCCUCAAAUACAGGAAAGACCUGAAUUCAAGUCCUGACUGACAUAGACUACUGUAUGAGUUUAGCAGCUGCCUGCGUAUCCCACUGUAAGUCAUGAUGAAGUAAAUUGGAGCUCUAAAAACAGAUGUACUGAAGUGCUUCAAGAAGAUUCAAGCAAAUGAGACUCAGAAUUCACAUCUAUCUGUGAGAUUUUUCUGUACCUGAGGAUACAAUUCAUCUGGGCCAAGUAAUGAAAAUAAUUGUCAACAGCAGCACAACUCCAGUCAUCGGGAUCUCCAAAUACUCAAGGGCCACUAUAAAAGGCCAUAGAAUGGGAAUAGAAGACAAGAGGUGGCCAGUGUGAUUCUAAUUGCUGAUUGUGCAAAGAUGCCCUUGAUAAACCUGAUUACUUCAGCCUGUACUUGUUAAGGGACAGGGCCAAGGGAAGAGGUAAUGAGGAUAAGUAUUGAUGAAGUGCCUACUCUAUGCCAGGCAGUGAACUAAUUAUCUCCUUUAAACCUUAUAGCAACCCUGUGAGGUGUUAGAGUAAAUAUAAGGUUCUCUGCUUUGGGCUGAUGGUAAUUUGGAAGUGAAAACAUAGGUAAAUACUCUCAGUUACUAUAAAAGUCACAUUUCUCUGUGGGUUUGAAAAAUAACCCCCAAAAGCAGAGACUGGUAAAGUGGGAACAGGGAAAACUAGGAUGCUUCUUUACCUAUAUCAAGAUUUUUCCAUGAGUGUCACAGGUUUCAUAAUAGAAUAGUGGAACUUUUUUUCUCCCAAAGUAAUCACUUUGGGUUCUAAUAAUUUAGAGGGUUCUAAUAAAGGAUUCACUCUUGUACAAAUAUCUCUUUCAAAACUAAAGCCUUUCUUCCUUUCACUUUUCAAUGAAAAGACUCAUAGGAAUUCAUUCAUUCUAUGGUUUAUGACAGACAUAAACUGUUUAAAAAAUAAGCAGAACCCAAGAUAAUGUAUAUUUCCAGAGAACAAGAUGAAAAUACAGUUCAGGACAAUGGCAUUUGCUAAAGGAAAUCUAUAUGACUAAGGAAGCGCAAGGAUUCCUUUUUAUGAGAGCUUUUAUGAAAAAGAUUAGGAUAAAAAAGAGAGGGAAAAUACUUUUUCCAGAAUUAUUUUCAGGGAGAAUUAGCAACAGUAGGGAACAGAUUUUGAUUUUUUUCUUUUAAAAUUUCUUUCCCUUUGAUUACUUUUGCAGAAAGUUUGAGAACCUUUAAAAAAUGCUUCAAAAGUGGAAAAGAUGUCUAGUUUGCCUUUAUCUGCUCUCUCUCUUUUUGCUUAUCUGUGUCAAAUUCCCUUUGGAAGUAAGGGUAUGAAGGAAAGGACUCACCUUUGUCAUUCAAAGCCUGUUUACUUCUAUUAGGCCAGCAAAUCUUUCUGCCCUAGCUCUACAGUAUUUUUGUACUCACAGAGAGGACCUGCCUUCAGAAAACGGAAAUGGGAUGUGAAAUGUUUUCCUAGGUUCAGUGGUCUUAAACAGCAGCUUAGGUGGUUAAAUGCUGCUUCUGUGAGAGAGUAAGUGCAGGUGUCCCUAAAAGGAAAAAAUAAGGGACCUGUUUUUAUACAAAAGGGUGUGUUUGAAAUAUGAACCAAAAAAGGAAUUGCUUUUUUAACAGGCUCUGGCUUUUACUGAGAUCUUGAGGAUUAGUUAUUCCUUUUGGGAGCAGACUGGUUAUUAUGUACAAGUUAUCUUUUAAAGCAGUUCUGAGUAACAGAGGUAAAAAAAAAAUAGGAAAUUUGACUUUGGAAAAUUUGCAAUCUUGUAGUAGUAGUCUGAGGUAAGAGUAAAUAUACUAAUAAGCAAGCAUUUUUACAGAUUUAUAUAGUUUUUGUAUUCUCUUGAAAUACCAUCCUACUUUAUUUUUCUCUGAUUUUUGUUAAAUAAUACAUGCUCUUUAUGAAAAGGAAAAUUUAUAUUGAUUGAAAAUAAAAGAAGGAAAAAAACACAUUUCAGAGAUUAAGCUUUUUUAAAGUGAAAUUCAUGAUAUAUGUAUAUGUUUUUUGACUUUAGAGGAAAAAAAUAACCUUAUUCUAUCAUUUACUGAAGAAUUGAUUAUAAUAAUAAAUACACACACAUAUAUGUAUAUCUCUCUAAAAGAUAAAUACAUUUAUGUUUUAUGUUACAUAUACAUAUAUUUAUGUGUGUAUGUAAGUACAUGUAUGUGUUAGAAUUCUUACAAGGUGCUAAGUCACUGGAAUUGAUAGAGACAAUAAUUAUCUAAUUUAGCAGGAUACUUAACAGUUCUCUAGUUCACUAAUGUACUUAGUACUUACUAGAGUUCCACAAGAUUCACACCUUUAAGAGAGCAUAUAUAAGCUAGGAGCCUCAAAAACGAUGGAUUCUCGGAGAUUCAGAAGCCAGGAUACAAGCCAGAAACGUCAGUCGGGCAGAAUGAAGGAAGACAGAGAAGUGAUGGCAGGCUGCCCUGUGGAGAACAUUGAAACCAAGAUCUGGAAGGCUUCCAGAAAAGUAGCCGAGCCUCAAGUGAAGGAGAUAAGAUUUUGGAAGAGACAAUAAAGAAUUUGGACUUUUUAAGUCCUGGCUGCAUUUGAGGUGAUUAUUACACUGAGCUGCAACUAAGGCUGCCUCCAAAAGUCCCUCAAGAAAUCUCCCAGAGAAUAUUUUAUUUUAGAGAAGAACAUUACAUGUAUGAGUUUGCAUGUAUAUAUACACACAUAUACAUAUGAACAUAUAUAUACACACACACACACACAAUGCAGUAUCAGGAUAAAUUCCUGAUAUUUAAUUUGCCAAAGCUUAAAACUGCAUAGUGUACAUUAUGUAUGUGUCUAUAUCCACAUACAUACCACAAAACUGAUUUUUGUAAAUAAUACAAUUGUUUUUCCUAUACUAUAUUAUCUCUACUAAAGUCUUCCUCUGAAGUCUACUGUCAUUUUGAUAUGGAGGUUACUGGGUUUCCAAGUCCAAUUAAGAUAGAAAGCUCUGAAUAUAGGCCCAACAAUAAUAUGAACAGUUGGCACUUAUAUAUUACUCUUAAGUUUUAAAAAGCAAUUUAAAUGCAAUUUAAAUUAAAUGCAAAAGAAAAAACAGUCUCUUGAUGACCCUGUGUGCUAGGAUUAUAGCAUUAAUUGUUUAAAGCUGAUAGGAAACUUAAAGAUAAUCAGAUCUGAUGUCAUUUUAUAGGCAAGGAAACUAAGAUUUAAAGAGGUUAAAGCUAAUAAGUGUCAGAGGUGUGAUUUGAAUGCAAGUCUUCCCAACUUAAAGUUCAGCACUCUGUCUACUCUACUAUCCUUUUCCCCAAUACCAUGAGGUUACUUUGGUGGUGGGGAAGAGGAGUAAAAGUGGGAUGACAAUGUUCUGUUGGCCAUAAAUUCAAGGUUGCAUAGGUUGCAGUGGCUUGUGGUAGGAAGAUUGCUAUCCGGUUGCCACCUAUUUAGUAUUUAACUAAUUUUUCUUGAUCACAUAGUUUCUAUACUACUGAAGGCCUGUGAGUGUUCUCAGUGUCCUCCAAAUGCCAUGCUCUGGGAAUAAAGCUCUGUCACUUCACCCUAUUAUCUAUAGCUCUACAGGAAUAAAUGGCAUGGACAGAUUGUUUCCUCAGUAUCUUUCCAAAGUUAUUUUUGAUCUUGGUUAUUAAUUGAAACAGUUACUUCUCUGUUUAGUUUUAAGUCAUAGAGAUGAAUAUACGAUUAAAAAAUAUUGUACAUACCCAUUACAAAGUGCUAGCUUUUUCAAAACUAUUUAGAAUUAGUGAGUUGUUUUUAAUAGAUUUAUCGGUGAGUAGUAAAGAGACUCAAUAAUUUUUUGGAACUAUUAUCCUUCUAGCCACUGGGGUAUUUAUUAAUAUUCUAGGGGAGGUUAUUAAUUAAAUUUACUUAAGGCCUUAAAGAGUUCAUCCAAUUCCAUACAACAUGAUUUUUUUCCCUAUUGGGAAUGAGUAUGGCAGCAUGAAAAGUCUUUUAGUUUAAAAGGAGGAAACAAGUGCAACCAAGUUUGAUUUAGGCAAGACCUUUGAGUUGAUACUAUGUCACAUGAUCAUGUGUGAACAAGAAAAAGUAAUGUUUAGAUGAACAGAUAAUUGGAGGAGAAUUAUUGUUAGUCAUCAUUAAGCAAAGUUUCCACAAAGAUAAGUUUUGGAUCUGCCGUUUAAUAUUUCCAUGAGUGAUGAUGAUGGUGAUAGGAUAGAAAGCUUAUUCAUCAGUUUUACACAUGGCCUCAUAUUGGGCAAUUGGAAUGAGAAGAAUGAGAAGAGAGAGUAUAAAAACAUCUUAGAAGAUACAUCUAUGAAUGUCUAUCUAUCUACAUAUAAAUAUACAUGUCUAUAUCUAUUAUCUAGAGAGAAUGACAGAACAUUUAUUAAAUUAUAGUCAUAUUUCAGGCAUUGUACGAAAGUUCAAUUAAAAUUUUUAAUUUUCUUUUUGACACUUUGAUAGAGCUGAAAUUUCAUAAUAUUGGUAUCUCUCCUCUGAUUUAGAUAAUAACACCUUAAUUCCUUCUUAUCCUAUGUGAAUCCUGUCUGUAGACUCACAUAUUCCAUGGAGGAUUAUCUAACACACUGGAAGGCUUAACUAAGUUCUAGAAUAGUAGCAAUUAUUGUUCACAUAUUCUAUUAGUACAAACAGGGGACAUUAGACUUAGAGUCAGGAAGACCUGGAUUCAAGUCCUACUUUAGAUAUUUACUGUUUGAUCUUAGUCAAAUCAUUUAGUUUCUUUGUGCCACUUCAUUUGUAAAAUGAAUGAGUUGGAUUCAACUACUAAGGUCCCCUUUUCCACAAAAGUUAUGAUUCAAUGAUGAGGAAAAGUGAGAUUAUUAGUAUUCAUUGGACUUUCAUGGACCUCAGUUUUCUCAUCUUGAUGCACCUGAUGAUAAAUCCUUGAUAGUUCUAAAAUAUUAAAUUCUAUACAUAGUUUAACAUUUUAAAUAGAAUCAUUCAUUGAUUUAUUAUAUAUACUUUUUAUUUUUCAUUGCCCAUGGUGCACAAGAAACUAGAAAAUAUUUAAUGCUAAAUGCUAAUAUUUAAUGCUAAAACUAUGGAAUAUCAUUUAAUUUUUCUUUUAUUAUUCAUAGUUCUUUAUCAUUUUACAAUAUCUUGGGACCUUAUAAGCAUCAAUUAUUUCUCUAUCAUUUUUGUACAUGUACAGAAAAUUGUUUAAUAGAAUAAAAACAAAAUAAACCAACGUGUAUAUAUCAACAUUCUAUUAUCUAUUUAGCACCAAGAUUUUAAGUACUAAAAAACAAAGCAAAACAAAACAUAAACCAUGAUAUCCUCUCUCAGGCCUUGCCUGAGCUAAUUACCAGUGAGUUUAUUGUAAGUUGAAGUUCUAAAAGUAAAGAAAUAUAGUUUAGGAAACACUUAAUUGCUUAUAUGGUAGCUAGUUAAAUAUAUCUUUAAAUUUUUUGGAAGAACUAGCAAAUAUGAAUAAUACCCUGUUUGACUAAAUUAUAAAAGCAAAGCUGGUUUAAAUUAGGAAGGUGUGAAAAAUUCUUGGGUUGGUAAAACACUUAGCACUUCCAUCAUUUAAAAGCAGCUAAAAUAUGUUUAAAAAAUAAUGAAAAGUUCAUAUUUUAAUUGAACUGGCUUUUGCAUGAGUCUAUAUUUUAUGAAGCUUAAUGAAAAAAAUGAAACUUUGCCCAUUAUAAAAUCUGUGUUAAUUGUCAUCUUUCCCAUAAAAUUCACAUCAGUUUUUUUGAAGUUUUGCAGUUUUGCCAACUCAAAAUGCAUGGCACCUGAUUUCAAUUUGCAUGGUGUUUAUUUUUCCUGGUAAAGUCAGACUUUCACAUUGGCACAACCAAAAGUAUUUGCUGAAGUGAAAACUUCCUUUGAAGAUGCCAAGAGACUUUUGGUUCAGAAAUACCAAAUUUAUGGAGCAUUUUUGUAAAUCAGAAAAAAGCUGUCAUUCAUUGUUCUUACCAGUUUUAUCAUUAGUAAAAGUGUUUUUUUUUUAUCAUCUUCUAUACUUUAAUAAUCUUAAAUAUAGUUGUGCUAGAAGGCAUGGAUGUAUUAAUUAAAAAUAUAGUCUAAUUAUUUACCCUAGUUGGUUCAUACAAACCUCAAUGGUAUAAUCACUAGACUCCCCUAAGGGUUUCUAGUAUAUUUCAGAAUGAAAUAGAAAAGUUUGCUAGUUACUUUACACUUGACACUGGAGUGUAAUUAAUUCACUUACAAUUCACCUCUAGGUCACCAGGUCAAAUAAAAACUGUACAGAAUAUACUCAUUCUUGGUUACUUGGUAGCUUCCAGAAAUGAGCUUAAAGUAGCAUUUAGAUCUAAUAGGACCAAUGGAUAUUUUUGAGAGAAUGGGUGGGUGGGUAUUGGUGAUAGGAGUGACUAAUUAAGUCAUUGUUUUUGAAUUGCUUAUCUGGAAGAGAGGAUAUUCUGAAAAAUCUUACCAAGUCAUUGGAGUUCCAGGUAUUUGUUAGUUAUAUUUUCCUACUUCCAAGAGCUAUCAUUCUGACAUGAGAGCCAGACCAGAGCUUUAGAGUUUUGCAUUUGAACUUAGUGUGCUGUAGCUGAACCUCAAAAGUGGGAAAUUAACAGAAAUGCACACAACUCUAGAAUGAGAGGUCAUAAAUAUGUCAAGAAUUAUUUAGCAUAAAAAGUUAAUUAUAUAUUUGGGAAAGAGUUCCAAAGGAUCUUUAGGAAUAAACCUAAGCAUAUGCCUUAUAGAAGCAAGAUAGCAUUAUUUAUAUAGUAGGAGAUGAUCCUUCAAGAGAAAUUAGUAAAAUAAUCCAACUUGUAUAAGUAGAUGCCUGGAAUGCUCUGCCCAUCACCUACAACAUUUGGGACCUCUAACAAUUCUAGACUCAUCUCAGGUGCCAAUAUUUCUUUGUAUUAAGGCUUCUUAUGGGGAAGGGUUGGGGGAUAGUUUAUAAAUUUGGUUUAGGGAAAAAAGUUUUUCCUUAUUUUCACUAACCUCUAAUUGAAAUUUAGCAUUUUCUUCUAUUAUGAAUACAGGAAAGAAUUUUUUUUUUCUGAAAAGGAAUCCAUAGGUUUCAUCUAUUCAGAGGAAUCUAUAACACAAAAAGGAUUGAGGAUUCUUGCCUUACAUGAACUUUUCAUUCUUUUACCUCUUCAUGUCUUAGGGUUCAACUCAAAAGAUUAUAUUUAUCUUAUAAAAAUGCAAUGUAACUGAGGAAUAUACAGAGCAUUUUCAGAACUUUUCUGCCUAAUGAUGGCUAAUGACAUAUACUAGUUCAGUAUUAUAUUAGCUUCCAGGUAGCUCCUGGUUAAUUUCAAUAGGUCUCUUAUAACUCUGCCUUGAAGGACACUUGAGGGUGACAAAGCAAUUUCUGUAUUGACCAUUGAGUAAGGAGAACUAAUGACUCAGUAGACAUUUAAAAAAGAAAUACCUGCCUUCUAUCAUUUCUCUUUUUCUUCUUAGCUGCAAAGUAGGUGAUUAUCAUUCAAACUUCUUAUUGAAAGGAGAGAGAAUGUGUGAAUAGAGAGGUGGGGAUGGACAUUGGCCACCCUUCCUCUGUCCCAUCAUAUGGCAAUUGUUCCCAUGUGGCAGCUGGAGAAGCAAGGCUCAAUGAAUGAACUUCAGCCUAGACUUCUAUAUCUAUUUUCUGUUUUGUGUUUCUGUAUCUGAUUGUAGGUGAUGGAGUAGCAAUCCCUAGAGAGCUAUGUAUUGUCUUGAAUUUAACAUUAUCUUGAAUUUGCGAUAUUCAAGAUUCUAGAUCCAUCAGUAGGAACUGCCUAAUUGAAAGGGACUUUCUGAAAUGGAGAAGAUAAUCAUAGACAAGAGUCAGCCCAAGCCCUGCCCUAUCAUUUUAGAAAAUCUAGAGUUGUUUGGACAGUUCUGGUUAUUCUAGAGUAUCUCAAACUGAUUCAUGUUAUGAUGUUGAAGUCUUAUCCUCCCAAGAGUAUAUAACAGUAGUUAAAAGUUGCUUUUGAAUUGUUUGAAGUCUGUCAAUGUGUUUUUAUGAAUUUUUGUGUUUGACAUUUUGGAAGUGUGUAUUUGUGAAAUAAAUACCUGACUUAUACCUAGUUCAUAUUGUAUAUUGAAUACCAUUCUAUUUACACAAUUGUCCAGAGAUAAGAGCCAAAACUUAAGCAGUUUUUCUCAAGGUACUUCCCUAGUGUUGCUGCUAGUAUAUAGGAUACUGGUCUUGGAUUCAGAAAAAGACCUGUGUUCAAAUCCCAUCUCAGAUACUUACUAGCUUUGUGACCAUAAGAGAAUCACUCAAUGUCUCUGUGCCUCAGUGCCUCGGAUAAUAACAAGGCCUAUCUCUCAGGGUUGUUAUGAGAAUUGGACAUGUGUAAAGCAUUUUGAAAACCUUAAAGAACUCUAAAAAUGUUAUCAGUAACAUUUUUUUACAUGUAUCAGUGAAUAUAGCCUGAACUGUGAAGGUGGAUCCUAGAGUAGAUAGGCAGAGAUAGAAUAGUUUGAAGUGCUCCAGCCCUUUGGGCACAUAUUCAUUGUUUUGGUUGUUACUGUUCAUUCACAUCUGACUUUUCAUUACCUCAUUGAUCAUAGCACACCAGGCCUUUAUUUUCUCCACUAUCUCUGGAAAUUUUUCUGAGUUAAUGUUUGUUGUUUCCAUGAUGCUAUGAAUCCAUCUCAUCCUUUGCUGUCUCAUUUUCCUCUUGCCUUCAAUCUUUCCCAGCAUCAGAGUCUUUUCCAAUGAGUCCAGUCUUUUUAUUAUGUGGACAAAGCAUUUAAGCUUCAGCUUAAGUAUUUGACUUUCCAGAGAAUGGUCUGAAUAAAUUUCUUUAAGUAGUGAUUGAUUAGACCUCCUUUCCAUUCAUAAUCCAAUAAAUGUUGACACUUUGGUCUGUAGUUCUUCUGCAUCUUCAAAAACUAGUCCACACUUUUGGAAAUUCUUGGUUCACAUGUUGCUGAAGCCUAGCUUGCAAAAUCUUAAGCAUAACCUUGCCUGUAUGUGAAGAGAGCAUAAUUAUUUGGUAAUCAGAACUUUCUUGGAUAUUGCCCUUCUUUAGAAUUGGGUUGUAAACUGAUCUUUUCUAAUCCAGUGGUCACUAGAUCAUCAUCUAUCAUAUACAUAUGCAAAUUUGCUGGCAUUUUGAGAGCACUUUAUAUCUUCUUAAUAUUUACUUAUGUGGGCUAAUGUUGUAUUCUCUUCUUCCCUCUUCAUAUUAUAAUAUAAAGUUAUUGAGGGCAGGGAUUGUUUUGUUUUAGUCUUUGUAUAUUUAGUUUUGUAUUUUCACUUUCUUGAACAUAGUAAGCACUUAAAUGUUUGUCAAAUUGAAUUUCAUCAGUGAAGGAGAGAGAAUAGAUACAGAAGUCUAGGCUGAAGUUCAUUCAUUGAGUCUUACUUCUCCAGCUGUCACAUGGGAACAAUUGCCAUAUGAUGGGACAGAGGAAGGGUGGCCAGUGUCCAUCCCUACCUCUCUGUUCACACAUUCCCUCUCCUUUCAAUAAUUAAGUUUGAAUGAUAAUCACCUACUCUGCAACUAAGCAGCUUCCCCACAAGAGAGUAUAUGAACAACCUAUAUGGUGCCCAAGUAACACAUUAUUGAUUUAUAUUAUCUCUUUCUGAGAAUAUAUGCAGAAUGAAUAGUAGAGUCCUAAUCAGCUGGAGAAUUUGGUUGUGAGAAAUGUAUGAAUUCACAUGUAUUAGGAAAUUGCCAGCUUAGCUGUUUUGGGUAAUAUUUUUGUAGAUUGUAACCUAUUCAACUAUGUGUUUGGAUUUAGCCAUAAUGCAAUGCAUAUCUAUCUUCACACCAACCUUAUUUCCUAGGUACCCAGAAAACAAAACAAAACAAAACAAAACAACAUCAACAAAAGUCUCAUGGAAGGAAAUCCCAAUAGACCACUUAACUAAUCAAUGAUGUGACUUAUUUUUAUAAAGUGUGACUUAUGAUUCAAAAUUGAUCUAUCCAAUAAAAAAUGUAUUGCCCCAUUUCCAAAAUGGAGUCAAUGGGCAUCAUAUCAUCAAUAGAGCAUAGAACAUAGAAAAGCAAUUUUGUCCACGACCUUCAGACAAAGUAAGGCUAUUCAGGACACUGUCAAUGAGGAAGAUUAAUUUUUGCCAGAGUUGCAUAACCCUUAAAAUAUAGGCAUAUGUGGGACUUCUGUUUUCUUUUUUUAUGUAGUUCCCUGCAAAACUUGACUCUGACAGGCCAUGUCAAAGUCCCUGUAGUAGCUUGAUUCUCCUUUCAUAGCAGGUUAUAGGUCUGAUUCUUCCUCUCACUUUUUCCUUUUUCAAUGACCUGGUCGCAUAUUUAGAGUUGUUCACUGCUUUGGUGGGCGAAAUAUCCUGGUUACCUUUACAAACUUUUGAAAAACACUGUAGCAAAUUUUUAAAAAAGCACUGAUGAGGUGAAAAUUUGUAAAGAUUAUUUAUGGCUUUUUGCCCAAAUUUGGACCCUUAUAAUCUUAUAUCUAGACUAUUACAAUAGCCCAGCUUCCUAACUGGCCUCCUACCUUCCAGUCUCUGCUUCACACCUUCAUCCUCAUUAUCUAUCAUAUACAUAUGGAUACAUACAUAAAAUAUGUAUAUAUGUAUUCACAAACACAGAGACACACACACAUACCAGAUUUUAUUCUUGAAUAUUGCUUUAGUCCUAUCAUUUGUCCAAUCAAAACCACCCAAUGGUUUCCUAUUAUUUAUAAGAAAGAGAGAAUUCCUUAGCAUAGUUUUCAAGUCUUAUCAUUUCAAGUAUUUUCCAAUCUAUUUCCCAUCACUCUUCUAUAUAAAAUUGCACUCCAUGAAAAUACUUCUACUUACUACUGUUCCAAAGUAUCCAUAGUGAUACCAGUUCAGUUGCUUAUAUCAACACAGAGCUUUGAACAAAAUAGGUACUCAAAAAUGGUUAUGAUUUAUUUUUCUAAUUGGCUUGUAACUUGCUGACAAUAAGCAUGGAAGAGCUAUGGAAUUUUCCUCUUAUUCUACUUUUCCAUUAAGUUGACUCUGGAGAUGUGGUAACUGAAAGAUAGUGAAUUGGUUCAAUGAAUGAAAUGGCUGGGAGAUUUGUAUAUUAUUUUAUUAUAUAUUAUUGAACUCAUUCUCUGGUUAGCAGUUUGGAAAUAAAGGAAAAAUGAAAACACAAUAAAACCUUGAUUUAUAUUAUUCACUUAUAAGGAACAAGGCAUUUGUUUGGUGUUAUAGGGGAAAUAGGUCUGUUUACCCAGUUUUCUGGAGUAUAUUGCCCUGAAUCAGAGGCACUUAAUGAAUAUUUGCUUUUAAUUGAUUAUAUCUUUCCCAGGAAAGUAUUAUACCUGAAUGCAGGAGUAAAAAUAAUGAAGAUGUCACAGUAUCUUGCACUUUAACACGUUUAAGGAUUUUGACACUUUUUCUUUUCAUGAGUUUGUGACUACUAGGAAGUAAUUGGUUUAAUGGUUUAGUGGUUCCAAUUUCCUUCAUUUCCAAUAACUUUAUUGUUGUGAUUAUUGCCAAAGGAUGGUGUUAUACUGAUGAUUUGGGUGGAAUCUUCUCUAAGAUUCCUCCACACUUCCCAUCACUAUGACAUUCUUAUUAGCUAUAUAAGAAAAAUAAAUAUAGAUGUAUAUUAAAAUAAUCUAUUAAAAUUCUAUUCUGAUAUCUCAUAGUGGCAGAUAGAUCAUGCUUAGUUCCUACAUAAUGUCAACAAAACAUAGGACCUAGAAUAACCAUCAAGCUGCAAAAGAUUGGAAUAUAAACUUCUUAUUUUCAUGCCUUUCUGUCCUACUUUCUUCAGCAAAUUCUCCUUAGCUGACUUUUUAUUGGUUAUUUACUCAGAGUUCAAUCUGAUGUGCCUUUUAACAGUUAUUUAGAGGUUCAUGUUAGGAGAGCUUGAAAUAAUUGCUCACUUUACCAUCUUUGCUCACCCUCCCUAAUCCCUAUUAUUUAGUAAGUGCUAUUAUUAUCCCCAUUUUAUAUGUAAGGAAACUAAGGUUCAGCAACUUACCCAGAAUUACAUAGCUAUUAAAUGUCUGAGGUAGGGUUUGAACUCAAGUCUUCCUAAAUUCAGGACAUAGAUGUCAGAACAUGACUAUCUCUUCACUCUAUGUCUCUUUGCUGGCUCACUGCAUCCAUGAAGUAUUCUUCUUUCCCUUCCCUGGCUUCUUUCAAGUCCCAGUUUAAGUCCUUCUUCUGUAAGAUGUCUUCCCUACUCUCCCUCAUUGCUAGUUCUAUUCCUCUAAGACUACCUCCUACUUAUAUUGUAUAUAUCUUAUGCAUUCAUAGUAGUUUGCAUGUUGUCUUUCCCAUUAGAAUUUCCAUUGGAAUAUGAGCUACUUGAGAGUAGAGAUGACAGAUUUUUAAAAUUUUUAUUUCCAGUGCUUAGAAGAUUGCCUGUCAUAGAACAAAUGCUUAAUAAAUGCUAGCUGUUCUUGAUGAUACUAAUGAUGUUGAUGACUAGCCUAACUAUUCUGAGAGAGACCCAUAACCAUAUUAUCUGUAGUUUGAGGAAGUUUUUUUGGCUGUGGUAAUUCUCUAAGAAUGUCUAUUAUGUUAUAUGUAUCAUGAUGUGUUUCAUUGUAGUGCAUAUACCUAUAAAAUUAAAAAUAUUGAAG
ensembl:lncRNA